UGGGGAAUAUUGCGCAAUGGGGGGAACCCUGACGCAGCCAUGCCGCGUGAAUGAAGAAGGCCUUCGGGUUGUAAAGUUCUUUCGGUAUUGAGGAAGGUUGAUGUGUUAAUAGCACAUCAAAUUGACGUUAAAUACAGAAGAAGCACCGGCUAACUCCGUGCCAGCAGCCGCGGUAAUACGGAGGGUGCGAGCGUUAAUCGGAAUAACUGGGCGUAAAGGGCACGCAGGCGGUUAUUUAAGUGAGGUGUGAAAGCCCUGGCUUAACCUAGGAAUUGCAUUUCAGACUGGGUAACUAGAGUACUUUAGGGAGGGGUAGAAUUCCACGUGUAGCGGUGAAAUGCGUAGAGAUGUGGAGGAAUACCGAAGGCGAAGGCAGCCCCUUGGGAAUGUACUGACGCUCAUGUGCGAAAGCGUGGGGAGCAAACAGGAUUAGAUACCCUGGUAGUCCACGCUGUAAACGCUGUCGAUUUGGGGGUUGGGGUUUAACUCUGGCGCCCGUAGCUAACGUGAUAAAUCGACCGCCUGGGGAGUACGGCCGCAAGGUUA
rnacentral:rRNA from 1 species